rnacentral:lncRNA from 1 species
CCUUCCUGUGGCCCCUCCCAUCUUGGUGCUGGGACGGCCUCUCAUGUGUACUCAUAUAACGAGGGGACAGACUUCGGCUCCCCAGAGCUAACCAUGAGUUUUACCUGUGUGUUGGCCCUCCGCACGUGUGUUAAAUUAAACUUACACUUUUGAUAAGACAAAUACUUUCAAGUUUUCCUUUAUAGUGGUAAGAAAUUGCCACGACAAUUUUGGCGUUGAUGGCACGUCUUGGUUCAACUUUUUUUCGGCGUGGAGGCGACCACGUGUGUGCGGCCGUCCUGGGGAGAAAUCAGCCUCGCUCUGUUUGGAGACAAAGGAGGACAUGUGUUCGUCUCGUGCAGGAAAACUUUUGACCACACAAGACCAAAAAGAACCUGAUUUUGGAAUAUCGGCAGCUCGGAGAGCCUGGCAGGGCAAGAGCGCCGAGGGGUGACCGCGACCCACGCCGCGAUCCACUUGGAGAGCCUGGGGCAGAGCGCGAGGGUGACUGCGACCACGCCGCGAUCCACUUG